AUGCCAGCCUUGGUUGGCCACCGAAAGCACCAACGGCUGUGAUGUCGUACAUGUGUUUGGACAGUCAGAUGAUAGGCCAAAGUCAGUUAAAAGCUUCCUUCUCUUCACAACUUUGUCUUCAUCUUCUUUAAACCCAAAAUUCCAGUUAAACAAGUGAGUGAGUGGGGAGGUUGAGAGCAAAAGACAAUAAAGAGAGAGAGAGAAUGACACACCAGAAUAGAGUAUAUGUUUUGUGUGCGUAACAGAGGGGGGAUACUUCUUCUUCUUGCCGAGAUCUCAAAUUGUAGCAGGAAGCUCCAAAACCCAAAAUCGUUGCUGCUGCACCUGAACGACACCUCUAUUAAGAUGCAGAUUUAGAGGAAAACACUGGAGAGCCAUGUUUAGAUUUCUUUCGGGAAAUGUAGUUUGAAGCAGACUCCGUAUUUUAUUUUAGACUUGUGGCUAGUAUUUGGUAAUUAAGCUAUCUCUUAUUUUGUAUUUUGAAAUGUAGAUGGCCUAUUGGGCCUCAGUAUAUAGUCUUUUAUAAACUUUAUAUGGAUGUAUAGUUCUAUUACAAUAUAAAUAUUUUUAUUAUGUUUGCUAUGUCGCACGUUGGUUCCCCUAUUUGGCAUCGGGACGUCACACAUAACCAUGAUUUCCUUUGUGGCCAUGAAUCCUUAAGUGUAUGUAGCCAUGAUCCCUCAUGUGGUCAUUAGCUUUUAUGUUUCUUUGAGCUUCCAUGUGGCCUAUGAUGAUUUGUGCCACCUUGAUCUUUAUUGAUGUCUUCGUAAUCAUGUUUAUAACUCAUUGAAACCUUAAAUAGUUUAAAGCAGUCCCUAAG